AUUCCGUGAACCUUCUCGCGUUCAUGGAAAUAAUUACGUUUUCUAAUUUCUAUUUUUGUUGACGUAUUAAUGUUUCAUUGGAAUAAAAACCUUUUAGGAAGCUCUUUUGAUGAUAAUUUUUGGAUAAGAAUGGAGGAGGGAAAUGUUGGAAUAAUGUAAAUAUGUGAAGUAAAUUUCCACUUAGGUGCAAAACACACAUAGUCAAACAAGAACACGAUACCCCCCCCCGCCCCCCUAUUUAGGACCUCGACGCAAAUAAUAAGAGAUGGCUUGGAGGAACUGCUUUAGAGCGUAGUGAAGAAUUGCAUGGUGCAGUUCUUCUCCGUUCUCCUUGCACAUUUGAAUCUGGUAAUGACUGUUUUCAUCUCCUUCUUGCGUGGUUUUCAUAAAUGUCUUCCUGGUGAACCUGACAUUUAAAUCCCUCCAUUCCCAUACUGGAGUCAGCGGUUCACCAAGGGGGACUAUACUGACUUCCCACUGAACAGGUUUUAUGGUCUACGCUGUCUCUGUCACUUGACAGGGACUAGUAUGCUCAAGGUUUUAUUCCUGCCACAGUCACCUUGAUGCACAUUUCACUCAUUCCUCAUGAGCGUGUGAGUUUCCUACUCAUCCGAGAAGAUGUCUUCAUUCCUUCGGCUUCCCGUCAACCCUCAGUCUCCAGACGCAGAGCCGAGGCUCAGUCCCGGAAUGGGUCUCAAAUGCCGUGGCCACGGUGUUUUGCCUGGAUGUCGACUCAGGUCCUGGAAGCUUCCGGUAUCUUGGGAUCCAGCUCGAAGGACCAAUUUAAAUGUCAGGUUCACCAGCACUGCAGCUUGCGCACGCUGCGCGAAAUCCUCUUAAAGUCGCGGCGUCCCUUCUGCCAACGCUUGAGCGAGGUGACCACCAGGCGCCCGUCGUCCAUCUUCCGGCCCAGCACCAGAAUUAAGGACAAGAAAUGAUCUGCACGAG